rnacentral:misc_RNA from 1 species
GAUGAAGAACGUAGCGAAAUGCGAUAAGUAGUGUGAAUUGCAGAAUUCAGUGAAUCAUCGAAUCUUUGAACGCACAUUGCGCCCCUUGGUAUUCCAUGGGGCAUGCUUGUUCGAGCGUCAUUUGUACUCUCAAGCUCUGCUUGGUGUUGGGUGUUUGUCCUUUCCCUGCGUUAGGACUCGCCUCAAAUUCAUUGGCAGCCGAUAUAUUGGUUUGAAGCGCAGCACAAUUUGCGAUUCGGGCUGGUUAUUGUUGGCGUCCAGUAAGCACAUUUAACACUUUUGACCUCGGAUCAAGGAGGGAUACCCGCUGAACUUAAGCAUAUCAAUAAGCGGAGGA